CUCGUGGUGGUUCCUUCCUUCGGGUUGGUUCCGCCGCGUGGUGUUGGGACCGUAGCCGCAGUAGGUCAGCGCAGGGGUGACACGGAAUGGGAGCCGGCCGCGGAGGUGGUUUUCCGUGGUCAAGCACGCAGCCAGUCAUGUAGGCAAAUCCGCAUGGCGCGCAUGGCGAGGUGUGAUGAUGGGAGCCGUUAUGGCUCGAUAUCCGGUUGUCCAGGCCGUCGAGAAAAGCCUCGGCGUGAGGGCCAUGGCCGCCCGUACCCCAAACCGACACUGGUGGUCAGGUAGAGAAUACCAAGGCGAUCGAGCGAAUCCUGGUCAAGGAACUCGGCAAAUCACUCCCGUGCCUUCGGUAUAAGGGAGACCCGCUGGGGUGAACCGGCUAGCCCGGGGAGCUUUGGUGGGUGGCACAGACCAGGGGGUAGCGACUGUUUACCAAAAACACAGGUGCAUGCGAAGGCGAAAGCCGCUGUAUAUGCACUGACGCCUGCCCGGUGCCGGAAGGUUAAGAGGAUCCGUCAAUCCCUUCGGGAUGAAGCGGUGAAUUCAAGCCCCGGUAAACGGCGGUGGUAACAAUAACCAUCCUAAGGUAGCGAAAUUCCUUGUCGGGUAAGUUCCGACCUGCACGAAUGGCGUAACGACUUCCCCACUGUCUCGACCAGGAGCUCGGCGAAAUUGCAGUACGAGUAAAGAUGCUCGUUAAGCGCAGAAGGACGAAAAGACCCCGGGACCUUUACUAUACCUUGGUAUUGGCGUUAGGCGCGGAUUGUGUAGCAUAGGCGGGAGGCUUCGAAGCGUGGGCGCCAGCUCAUGUGGAGCCGCAAGGUGAAAUACCGCUCUGUUCUCGUUUGACGUCUAACCUCGACAAGUCAUCCUUGUCAGGGACAGUGCCUGGCGGGUAGUUCAACUGGGGCGGUUGCCUCCCAAAGAGUAACGGAGGCGCUCAAAGGUCCGCUCAGCCCGGUUGGCAAUCGGGUGUCGAGUGUAAUCGCACAAGCGGGCUUGACUGCGAGGACGACGGUCCGAGCAGGGACGAAAGUCGGAGAUAGUGAUCCGGUGCCGGCGCACGGGCGCGGCAUCGCUCAACGGAUAAAAGGUACCCCGGGGAUAACAGGCUGAUCAUUCCCAAGAGUCCAUAUCGACGGGAUGUUUUGGCACCUCGAUGUCGGCUCGUCGCAUCCUGGGGCUGGAGCAGGUCCCAAGGGUUCGGCUGUUCGCCGAUUAAAGCGGCACGCGAGCUGGGUUCAGAACGUCGUGAGACAGUUUGGUCUCUCUCCUCUGCGCUCGUUGGAAUCCUGAGGAGGCCUGCCCAUAGUACGAGAGGACCUGGGUGGACGAACCUCUGGUAUGCCGGUUGUCGCGCCAGCGGCACGGCCGGUUGGCUACGUUCGGGAGCGAUAACCGCUGAAAGCAUCUAAGCGGGAAGCCUGCUCCAAGAUUAGGAUUCCAUGGAUCUUCGAGAUCCUGUAGCCCGCAUGUUGAACACGUGUUUGAUAGGCCGGAGGUGGAAGUCCCGUGAGGGGUGGAGCCGACCGGUACUAACGGGCGACGGC
rnacentral:rRNA from 1 species